GAGACUGUAUGAUCUAGACCAAGACAAUACAAGAUUAGAGUCAUUAACAAAAAGUUUGGAGCAAGAAAAGGACACUUUGACCGAGUCAUAUAAUACUCUACUGGACAAGUGUGCACUGCUUGAGAAGGAGAAGGAAACAUUGGUUGAAAACAUCAAUUUUCUUAACAAGCAAUACACGGAAGCAAGAGAAUCCAACAUGGAAUUUACCAAGACUAUCAUUCAACUCAAAUCGGAUUUGAACAAGUUUUCGUCCGGGUCAAGCAAACUUGAUAAGAUGUUAGGACUCGGUCAAACUAACAAAUUCGGACUUGGAUACGAACGGACAUAUGUCGAUCAAGUAAUGAAGAAAGUAGAUGAACAUUCGACAAAAACGGUUCCGAAGGUCUAUGGUAAGUUUGUUCCUCCCAAGAACGUGUUUGCUAACAAAUCCUGUCAUUUUUG
rnacentral:lncRNA from 1 species